ensembl:lncRNA
CUUAAUUAUUUAGUAUAAAUGAAGGCAAGUGUGUGUUCUGUUCAUCUUUGCAAUCGUGUGUUCCCUGAUAGUCAAUGAUUGCUGGAGCUCUGGAAAUAGCAGGUGAGAUUGCAGGCCGGAGUCCCAUUGCUGUCCAGGGAACCAAAGUCAACCUCCUCUACUCCUGAGACCACAGUGUGACUGAGAGCCUAGACUACAUGGCUACUUGGAAAAUGAACAUGUUGCAGACACAGGAUCUUAUGAAGUCAGCGCAGGCAGCCCUGGAAAAGAAGAGUCCGAAAGACGUGCCCUUCUCCAAGCUUUAAAGGAGAAGAUCCAGGGCUGUUGAAGCUGCGGUGGAACUGAGACUUCAUCAUCCACAUAUCUUCAGUUCUUCUUGCUAAGAGAACGAGAAACUCUGACAUGAGUACAUCCUGACCAUUGGUACUGUGUACACAUCAACAUACACACACGUCUCCAUGCUGGACAUCUCGGGGAGCUUUCACACAGUGCUAGGAAUAUCCCGGGACAGAGAAACGCACCUCCUAAGUGAGCGAGUUUAGCGUCAACCGGUGAAAUUUGCUGUAGCGUGAACACUUCGCCUCUGUGAGCUUCACUCUCCGUCAGGUUCACUGUAAUUAGACAUAAAAUGUACAUAAUGUUUAUUUUUCAUACAUUUAGGACUUAAGGUGGUUUUUUAAAAUUUAUUUUUAUUUAUUUUUUUUACCCUUCGAGGAACAGAAAUGAUAUUUCGAGGCAGCUUCUUCAUCACUACCUGCUCCAUUUGACUCAAAAAUGCAACGACCGGUUUCAAAAAGUCACGAUGUCUUCAGUUCAUGUGAUUUUACUGUUGAAUUUAAACAGGAAAUGUGAAAUAUUUUUGUUCCUUUGUUUCCUCUACUGUC